GACGAGGUGGCCGAAAGGUGAAGGCGAUGGACUUGAAAUUCAUUGUGCUGUGCACGUGUGGGUUCGAAUCCCACCCUUGUCG
rnacentral:tRNA from 1 species